UACGUAGGGUGCAAGCGUUAAUCGGAAUUACUGGGCGUAAAGCGUGCGCAGGCGGCUUUGCAAGACAGUUGUGAAAUCCCCGGGCUCAACCUGGGAACUGCAUUUGUGACUGCAAGGCUAGAGUACGGUAGAGGGGGAUGGAAUUCCGCGUGUAGCAGUGAAAUGCGUAGAUAUGCGGAGGAACACCGAUGGCGAAGGCAAUCCCCUGGACCUGUACUGACGCUCAUGCACGAAAGCGUGGGGAGCAAACAGG
rnacentral:rRNA from 1 species